rnacentral:tRNA from 1 species
CUGAUGGCUUAGACGGUAAAGAAUCUGCCCGCAAAGCAGAAGACCCCAGUCCGAUCCCUGGGUCAG